rnacentral:rRNA from 1 species
AACGAACGCUGGCGGCAUGCCUAACACAUGCAAGUCGAACGAGACCUUCGGGUCUAGUGGCGCACGGGUGCGUAACGCGUGGGAACCUGCCCUUAGGUUCGGAAUAACUCCCCGAAAGGGGUGCUAAUACCGGAUAAUGUCUUCGGACCAAAGAUUUAUCGCCUUUGGAUGGGCCCGCGUUGGAUUAGCUAGUUGGUAGGGUAAAAGCCUACCAAGGCGACGAUCCAUAGCUGGUCUGAGAGGAUGAUCAGCCACACUGGGACUGAGACACGGCCCAGACUCCUACGGGAGGCAGCAGUGGGGAAUAUUGGACAGUGGGAGAAAGCCUGAUCCAGCAAUGCCGCGUGAGUGAUGAAGGCCUUAGGGUUGUAAAGCUCUUUUACCCGGGAUGAUAAUGACAGUACCGGGAGAAUAAGCUCCGGCUAACUCCGUG